UACGUAGGUGGCAAGCGUUGUCCGGAAUUAUUGGGCGUAAAGCGCGCGCAGGCGGCUUCUUAAGUCUGAUGUGAAAGCCCACGGCUCAACCGUGGAGGGUCAUUGGAAACUGGGAGGCUUGAGUGCAGAAGAGGAGAGCGGAAUUCCACGUGUAGCGGUGAAAUGCGUAGAGAUGUGGAGGAACACCAGUGGCGAAGGCGGCUCUCUGGUCUGUAACUGACGCUGAGGCGCGAAAGCGUGGGUAGCGAACAGG
rnacentral:rRNA from 1 species